rnacentral:misc_RNA from 1 species
CCAAUAGCGUAUAUUAAAGUUGUUGCAGUUAAAAAGCUCGUAGUUGAAUUUCGGAGUUUGUCGGUUGGUCGGGCUUCACUGUCCGCACUGACCUGAUGGAUUCCUACCUUCUGAAUAACCAGCAUGCUAUUAAGUUAGUGCGUUGGGGAAGCAGAGCUAUUACCUUGAAAAAAUUAGAGUGCUUAAAGCAGGCUUAUGCUUGAAUAGAUUAGCAUGGAAUAAUAAAAUAGGACGGCAUGGUUCUAUUUUGUUGGUUUCUAGGAUCACCGUAAUGAUUAAUAGGGAUAGUUGGGGGCAUUAGUAUUCAAUUGUCAGAGGUGAAAUUCUUGGAUUUAUUGAAGACUAACUUCUGCGAAAGCAUUUGCCAAGGAUGUUUUCAUUAAUCAAGAACGAAAGUUAGGGGAUCGAAGACGAUCAGAUACCGUCGUAGUCUUAACCAUAAACUAUGCCGACUAGGGAUCGGAUGAUGUUAUUUUUUAAUGACUCAUUCGGCACCUUACG